GGUAGCUCUGGGUCCGCUUCUAAUCCCAUGAUGCCUGGUGGACUUCCACCAGGCGGAAAUCCCCUGGAUCCAAUGGGGGCAAUGUCUGGUGGCGGGGCCAUUUCUAAGUUUUCUGGAGGUACCAAUCUCGUGGAUCCGAAAGGAUUUAUGAAUGGAGGAGGAUUAACCGGGACCCAGUCAAAUCAGUUCUCGAUGCUAGGUAA